rnacentral:rRNA from 1 species
AGAGCGAACGCUGGCGGCAUGCUUAACACAUGCAAGUCGCACGGGCACUUCGGUGUCAGUGGCGGACGGGUGAGUAACGCGUAGGUAUCUAUCCUUGGGUGGGGGACAACUGUGGGAAACUACAGCUAAUACCGCAUGAUAACUGAGGUUUAAAGGCGCAAGUCGCCUGAGGAGGAGCCUGCGUACGAUUAGCUAGUUGGUGGGGUAAAGGCCUACCAAGGCGACGAUCGUUAGCUGGUCUGAGAGGAUGAUCAGCCACAUUGGGACUGAGACACGGCCCAAACUCCUACGGGAGGCAGCAGUGGGGAAUAUUGGACAAUGGGCGCAAGCCUGAUCCAGCAAUGCCGCGUGUGUGAAGAAGGUCUUCGGAUUGUAAAGCACGUUUCGACGGGGACGAUGAUGACGGUACCAGUAGAAGAGCCCGGCUAACUUCGCGCCAGCAGCCGC